UCUUGAAGAACAGCUUCAUCCAGGGCCAGUGCUUGACGUUCAUGAAUGCACGAAUGUUGUACUGGAUGCAGAAAAUGGACUCUCUGAAAGGAAGCCCCUGCACCUGGCCUGUGUGCGGGUGAUGAGCUGUGCCAGCUUCUCAUCCCUCAUCUCUUCCAAGAGGCCUAUCAGCCCAGCUUUGAAGAACACCUUAGGGCUGGACUCCACUGGGACCAGAAGCAAACCACAGCACAGUUAAAAGAGAAGCGGCAGACUGAAAGCUAUCUCUGGAUACAGACUGUCCUGCACAGCAAUGCAGUGUCAGCAAGGCGCACAUUCCCCAUGGAGGAGAAAGGAUUCAGUCAUGCUGAAAAUAGAUCCUUCUUGAGACAGAGGUCAGGCAGCUGCCUCCCUUUCUGCCAGCCCUUAAGAUGUGUGUUUUCUUCUCCUGAUCCCUGUGGUUAGCUGAGAGACAAGGAGUGAGAAGGCAUUUUUUAGCUAGGCAACACAGCCAGACUGGAGAGGGGAAGUGGAAGUGCCUACAGACUGCUGUGUGUUGGCUAGUGGGAACCUCCCGCUCAUGCGUGUUCAGGGUCAUCAAGCUCAUGAACUGGAAACAUGAGAAUGUACCUAUAUGGCAGGAGGUUUUGCAGUAGGAAAAGGAGUCUUCUACUGUAAUCUGGUGAUCCCCAAUCUUUCACCCUGGGAACUACUCUCAGGCCCUCUGCUCCUCUAACUAGAACAGACUGCCCUCCAGGAGGAAGGACUUUGGGGUUAUGGUGGAUAUGAAUAUGACUGUUCUCACUGCAAACAGGAUGAACCAAGUACCAAGUGGUGUUAGAAAUGUGAUCAGCUGAUUGUAGGAAGCUAUUAUCCCUUUUGCUUGACACUGGGGAGGCCUCAUCUGAAACAGUUUGUCCAGUUCUGGGCUCCCCAGUUCAAAAGGGAUGUGAACUAAUGGGAGAGGGCCCAGCAGAAGGCUAGCAAGAUGGGAAGGGUCUAGAAAACUUUUGCUCUGAAGAGAGUUUGAGGGCAUGUUUAGUCUGAGGAAAAAAGGCCUAAUGUACAUGAGGGGCAGUUACAAAGAUAACGUGCCAAGGUUUUUUCAUGACAGAUAGUAGCAGACAAUGUAACAAGGGGCAUUGACCACAAAUUGUUGCUUGAAAGUCUCCAGUUAAACAUUAGGAAAAUUCUUGACUAUCGGGUAAUGCAGAAAUGGCACAGGCUACCCAGAGAGGUUGUGGAGCCUCUGUCCAAAAAGCUUGGCUAAUCAAAGCCAUGACUGAUCUGACCAACAUCGGCAAUAGAUCUGCUUGAAGUUGGAAACUGAACUAAAGACCUCCAGAUGUUCCUUUGCAACAGCAUUUCUGCGGCUUUAAUGUAGAGGUUCCCUCUAUCCAUCCAAAGCAGACAAUUGCUCAAAGCUAAGCAGAGAAGGUGUCUGCAGCUUCAUGUCUUGUGAUAAGAAACAGAAAUUUUCCUGGAGUCCUGAAAAACAGCUUUUCUCAAGUGGACCACUGGGCAUGAAUCUUUGAUCUCACUGCAUUGUUGGAGACAGUUAAUUCCAUGCAAUUUGUCAAAGCAUAUCCCUCCAGAACACCAAUUCCAGAAUACCGCUUCUCAAGUAUGUCAUCUGGAAGCAUCCUCAGCAGCAGUAGGCUUCGGUAGUUUUCAGUUCUUGAAGAACAGAGUGACAUGCAGGCAGAGUCAGAGAACCAUGGAGCUCACCAGGGCAGCAAAGUGCAUCACAUCACAUCAGAAAUAAGUUCCACCAGGUGAGGAGCAGCAGGGCAGGCAGAGUACAGGAAGGUCCUCUUGUCAUCACAGACUGGACACAUUCAUGGUGGUAAUUGUAUGCUGGUAAGCAUUUCCCCAGCCCCAUUACAGGAAUUUAGGGAUCUGGUACAAACCUUUUUCAUUCUGAGUCACUAGGUACCAUUUGUCAGAAAAUAUGUGUAAGAUAUAGUGAACAGCAGCUAACAUCACCACUGUGUGUUAUUUCUGACCAUAACAUAACAUUGAAGGAAAUGAGGUUACACCAUGUCCCUGCCAAUGGAUUAAAUGAUCUUUAAAGAUCCCUUCCAACCCAAACCAUUCUGUGAUUCUGUGAAUGGUUGUACUGGGUGAGAUCAAAGGAACAUGUAGACCCUCACACCUGAGACAUUUCUCAUCAUCCCAAUCUCCCCAGAUACCCACCCCACACAAUGUCCCACCCACGUGGUGAAGCCUUCUUAGAGCACAAACCACAUCAAGUUGGUGAAAAAUGUCAUGUGACUGGAGCAAAACCAAAUAAGACACACAUGGGAAACCAUACUGAAAACAGCAAUGUAUUUUCUGUGUCACUGCCAAUAAUGGGAGACAGAAGCACAAGCACGUUCCUACUAUCUGUAUAUGAAGCCUAAGAAGCCUUUGGCCUUCUCAGGUCUCAGUGACCUACAUGUCCCCCCGCAUGGAGCCUGUAAUGUUCAUGGGAUACAGCAGACAUCCCCUUUAACAGGGAUUCCCUUGCACACUCUCCUAGUGAGCCCUCGGAGGCUGGAGAGAGCUCAGAGCUGCUCAGCUUCUGCUCUGGUAGGAAACCUCCUCCUGUGAGUCGAUGGCCUGGAGAGCAGGCUCAGGUGCCUACUCAGAUAGCAGCAUCUCCUGUGCGUGGUCACUUCAGCUGCUCCUCCUCAGGUGAUCGGGGUCCUUGAUAUCCUGACCAGGAACUGGGAGGUGCCCAGGGCCACGGUAGGGACCAGGAAUGUCUGCAUGGAUGUGCUGCUCCUCUGAGCACACAUCAGAGCUAAGGUGAAAUGAAGUCAAUCUUGCAUGUGGUAGGUAAUUACUGGUGAUUACUCUGCCCUGCUUCAACCUAAUCAGCUUGCUGGGUGACUGGUUUCCAGACCUCAUAAAACACUAAAUAUUCCAUAACAUAGAAUUUAUAUACAUCUGUUCAGUGUUUAUAUACACAUCAAUGUUUGAUGUGUUACCAACUGCCUCUAAACACUAUGUCACACAGGUGACAGACUUGGUGACAAGCAGCUUUGCUUGGACAUGCUUCUGAAGUUAAGUUCCUCUCAUUUAUAAUGACCAAAUAUGACCUGGUGCUGAGAAAGUCAAAGAUUUCUGUCCAUCUGCUGCAUCUGUUACUUAUUUUCAGAGGAAUUAGCAUAUAUUCCCUCAAAAUCUCCAGAGGAAGAACAUCCUGCCUAGUCACUAGUACAAAAGAAACUGAUUGCACAGCAAACCCAUUCAGAACAAACACCAGUUUUGCUUUCUUUUCUUUUGUUCGACAAAACUCCCUCAAAUAGGUGCUAUGGCACUAGGAUGCUUCCUAGUUAAAGACAGUCUGGUGCUGUUUCAAGCUAUUUUCUCCCUUGCAUGACUACCUGUUAUCUGAUAAACACCACUUGAGGAAAGGGUUUUUUUAGCAAUUUCUGUGCCAGGCAUUGGGACCAGCCUGUUCCUGCAGAGGGAGGUGGAAGUGGCUGAGCUUGAGCAGGUAAGUGUAGGAGGAUCGCCGACUUUCCAGGCUUGCGGCUGGUGGGAUAGAUGGGGAAAAGCUGUCGCUGUGGUUUCUGGGAGCAGCUAUUUAGCACUACCCACUGCUCCAGUAUGCCUUCCCACAGCAGUAAUCUGACCUUGCAGAGCUCUGGCAUAGGCAAAGCCAUUUUGCUGUGAUCAUUAUGUGAUUAUUGUCCCCUGCUUCUGAACACUGCUGACUACAGCAGGCUUUUCUUAAACAGUAGGGUUUUGUUUUACUCCCUUCCUUCCCUUCCCCCAGGUCUUCAGAGAAUUUUACUCCCAAAUAAUUUGCUUUUCCAGCUGCUAUACAAAACUUAACCUCAGCCCAUUUGAGAGGAUAUGAAACAGCAGCUGUGCAUCCAUCUCCUGGCUGAAAACAAUGAGAAUCUGUAAGGCUUGCUCAGCUGUGAGAAAGCCAAAGCAGAAAAAAAGCAUCAUGCGGAAUAAUCUCAUAAAUUUGAGAACAAGCAGACAGCCAUAUCAGUCUAGAGCAAAGGUCCAGCUGGUAUUUGUUGCAUGAUUGUACGUUGGAUGCUUUGUGAAAAUCCAAUUUCACUUUUUCCAUACUAUUUAUAAUAUUAUGUAAGCAUAUCAUCUUCCCGCCUGUUUUUUUCUUUCCCAAAGUGAAAGAUCAUAGUCCGGACAGCUUGUCUCUCCAGUGCUCCCAUCAAUUUUGUCAUCUUUCUCCAUACCCUUCCUAAUUACACAGGCCAAAACUGCAGAUAGCAGGUGGUUUGUGGGCCUGGUACAAUGAUUUCUGUUUUGUUCUCAGUUGAUCCUGAUAAUUCCUGAUACUCUGAUUGCCUUUUGUGGCCACCAGUGAGCACUGACUUGACGUUUGGAGGCACCUGUUCACUAUUCUGGUAGCCUUCCUACCUCCUAAUCCUGGUCCUCCUUUCAGAGACUGAAUUUCUAUAGGGUUGGUCUAUGUAUGGCUCAGAGUCAUCGUAUGGACAGAGAAGUUGACGUUCUGUUUCUUCUGCACAAAGGGUUUUUACAACUGGUGAUUCUACAGUCUGCCUUACAAGGAUGACAUCUUUCUUAGUGGCUUUCAGCAAAAUGACAGAAAGUGAGACUCAAGAGUGGCACAGCCCAGCUAACAGAGCAGCGGAGAGACGGGUAAAGCAGCAAACUUUUAUUUGGGGGUGAGCAGCUCUUCACUAUCAGAGUCGUGCCGUUACUCAGACUCUUCAUGUUCCCAGCAAACAUCAGCGGAAGAGCUGGCCGAGGAGGUGACAUUCAGGAUGCCCUUUCUGUCACCCACCAAAGCAGCUGAGGAGCUUCUGUUACAGAGCAGGGGAGUGGGGUGGGCAGGCUAAGACGCCUCCGGGUAAGACAAAGAAAAAAGAAAGCAAGUGGCAAAAGGGGGAGGGAAGGGGGGGAAGGAAAAUCAGGAUUAGGUGCAUAAUAUUAGCACUAGCAACAACUGUAUCCUAAAAAAGAGAGCAAUGAGGUGAUAUCUUCCUAGCCUGACACUCAUCUGUGACAGAUGCACAAAUCCCACUUCUGGGCAGAUUUCAGUGCUGUAAAUGGAAAUAUACUGGUAUGGAAUUUGUAUAAACCUGUUCACUUUAAGCAUUAGACUUUUCAAGGUUAAGACAGCCCACUGGAUUACCAUAGGAUUUUCUGAGUGCCGGAGUCACUGCAGUGAAGUUACCAACAGGAUACGUAGCAGAAUUUUCUAGUGACAUUUUCUGAACUAACUUUUUAUGUUGCAGAAAAUUUCCUUUUGCAUCCUCAGGAAACUUGUCAACAGCCUUGUUAUUUUACAUUGGCAGAUAGAUUUCCUUGGUGGUCAGCCUAAACAUUUCUUUAAUUGCUCUCUGCAUCCAUCUGAGACGCCCAGGGAAGGAUACAAGCCCCUGCUCCCCCUGAAGGGCAAAUCAGUUGUGUAAAGCAGAACAGCUCCAGCAGGAGGCAAUGACAGCGACAUGCCAGCAGAAAGCCAGCAGCCAGGGUGGUUUACAUCUCAAUCAGGACUGCGGCCUGAGGAAAUAUAUGUUAAAUCUGCUGCAA